UCCGAGUUGACCCCGGCAGUCUCCUAUGAGUCCCCGGCAUGACCCGCUGGCAACAUAGAACGAGGGUUGCGCUCGUUGCGGGACUUAACCCAACACCUCACGACACGAGCUGACGACAGCCAUGCAGCACCUGUGUGUAGGUCCCUUACGGGAAGGAAUCCAUCCCUGGAAGCCGUCCUACCAUGUCAAACGCUGGUAAGGUUCUGCGCGUUGCUUCGAAUUAAACCACAUGCUCCACCGCUUGUGCAGGCCCCCGUCAAUUUCUUUGAGUUUUAAUCUUGCGACCGUACUUCCCAGGCGGCGCAUUUAACGCGUUAGCUUCGCCACAAACGGGGUCGAUUCCGUUUACAGCAAAUGCGCACCGUUUACAGCCAAGACUAC
rnacentral:misc_RNA from 1 species